rnacentral:rRNA from 1 species
GACGAACGCUGGCGGCGUGCCUAAUACAUGCAAGUUGAGCGCUGAAGGUUGGUACUUGUACCAACUGGAUGAGCAGCGAACGGGUGAGUAACGCGUGGGGAAUCUGCCUUUGAGCGGGGGACAACAUUUGGAAACGAAUGCUAAUACCGCAUAAAAACUUUAAACACAAGUUUUAAGUUUGAAAGAUGCAAUUGCAUCACUCAAAGAUGAUCCCGCGUUGUAUUAGCUAGUUGGUGAGGUAAAGGCUCACCAAGGCGAUGAUACAUAGCCGACCUGAGAGGGUGAUCGGCCACAUUGGGACGGAGACACGGCCCAAAUUCCUACGGGAGGCAGCAGUAGGGAAUCUUCGGCAAUGGACGAAAGUCUGACCGAGCAACGCCGCGUGAGUGAAGAAGGUUGUCGGAUCGUAAAACUCUGUUGGUAGAGAAGAACGUUGGUGAGAGUGGAAAGCUCAUCAAGUGACGGUAACUACCCAGAAAGGGACGGCUAACUACGUG